rfam:Ictidomys tridecemlineatus contig092451, whole genome shotgun sequence.
UGGGAUGUGGCUCAAUCGGUAGCGCGCUCGCCUGGCAUGCAUGCAGCCUGGGUUCGAUCCUCAGCACCACAU